rnacentral:rRNA from 1 species
UGAGGAAUAUUGGUCAAUGGGCGCAAGCCUGAACCAGCCAUCCCGCGUGAAGGAAGAAUGCGCUACGCGUUGUAAACUUCUUUUCCAGGGGGAGAAUUUUCCUGUCGAGACAGGGAUUGACGGUACCCUGGGAAUAAGCAUCGGCUAACUCCGCGCCAGCAGCCGCGGUAAUACGGACGAUGCGAGCGUUAUCCGGUUUCAUUGGGUUUAAAGGGUGCGUAGGCGGAUUGAUAAGUCAGUGGUGAAAUUCUGCAGCUUAACUGUAGACUUGCCGUUGAUACUGUUAGUCUUGAGUGUGGUCGAGGCAGGCAGAAUGUGUAAUGUAGCGGUGAAAUGCUUAGAUAUUACACAGAACACCGAUUGCGAAGGCAGCUUGCUAAGUCAUUACUGACGCCGAUGCACGAAAGCGUGGGGAUCAAACAG